UACGUAGGGGGCUAGCGUUGUCCGGAAUUAUUGGGCGUAAAGAGCUCGUAGGCGGUCUGUCGCGUCUGCUGUGAAAACUCGAGGCUUAACCUCGAGCUGUCGGCGGAAACCAUCUGGCUAGAGUCCGGAAGAGGAGAAUGGAAUUCCCGGUGUAGCGGUGAAAUGCGCAGAUAUCGGGAAGAACACCCGUGGCGAAGGCGGCUCUCUGGGACGGUACUGACGCUGAGACGCGAAAGCGUGGGGAGCGAACAGG
rnacentral:rRNA from 1 species